rnacentral:rRNA from 1 species
AUUGAACGCUGGCGGCAUGCCUUACACAUGCAAGUCGAACGGCAGCACGGGAGCAAUCCUGGUGGCGAGUGGCGAACGGGUGAGUAAUGCAUCGGAACGUGCCCAAUCGUGGGGGAUAACGUAGCGAAAGUUACGCUAAUACCGCAUAAGCCCUGAGGGGGAAAGUGGGGGACCGCAAGGCCUCACGCGAAUGGAGCGGCCGAUGUCAGAUUAGCUAGUUGGUGGGGUAAAGGCCACCAAGGCGACGAUCUGUAGCGGGUCUGAGAGGAUGAUCCGCCACACUGGGACUGAGACACGGCCCAGACUCCUACGGGAGGCAGCAGUGGGGAAUUUUGGACAAUGGGCGCAAGCCUGAUCCAGCCAUGCCGCGUGCGGGACGAAGGCCUCGGUUGUAACG